GACGAACGCUGGCGGCGUGCUUAACACAUGCAAAUCGAACGGUAAGGCUCCAGCUUGCUGGGGUACACGAGUGGCGAACGGGUGAGUAACACGUGGGUGACCUGCCCUGCACUUCGGGAUAAGCCUGGGAAACUGGGUCUAAUACCGGAUAGGACCGCACCGUGAGGGUGUGGUGGAAAGUUUUUUCGGUGUGGGAUGGGCCCGCGGCCUAUCAGCUUGUUGGUGGGGUAAUGGCCUACCAAGGCGGCGACGGGUAGCCGGCCUGAGAGGGUGGACGGCCACAUUGGGACUGAGACACGGCCCAGACUCCUACGGGAGGCAGCAGUGGGGAAUAUUGCACAAUGGGCGGAAGCCUGAUGCAGCGACGCCGCGUGGGGGAUGACGGCCUUCGGGUUGUAAACUCCUUUCACCAUCGACGAAGGGUUUCUGACGGUAGAUGGAGAAGAAGCACCGGCUAACUACGUG
rnacentral:rRNA from 1 species